rnacentral:rRNA from 1 species
AACGAACGCUGGCGGCAUGCCUAACACAUGCAAGUCGAACGAGAUCUUCGGGUCUAGUGGCGCACGGGUGCGUAACGCGUGGGAAUCUGCCCUUUGGUUCGGAAUAACAGUUGGAAACGACUGCUAAUACCGGAUGAUGACGAAAGUCAAAAGAUGUAUCGCCAGAGGAUGAGCCCGCGUAGGAUUAGCUAGUUGGUGUGGUAAAGGCGCACCAAGGAGACGAUCCUUCGCUGGUCUGAGAGGAUGAUCAGCCAAACUGGGACUGAGACACGGCCCAGACUCCUACGGGAGGCAGCAGUGGGGAAUAUUGGACAAUGGGCGAAAGCCUGAUCCAGCAAUGCCGCGUGAGUGAUGAAGGCCUUAGGGUUGUAAAGCUCUUUUACCCGGGAUGAUAAUGACAGUACCGGGAGAAUAAGCUCCGGCUAACUCCGUGCCAGCCGCCGCAGUAA